rnacentral:rRNA from 1 species
UACGAAGGGGGCUAGCGUUGCUCGGAAUCACUGGGCGUAAAGCGCACGUAGGCGGAUUGUUAAGUCAGGGGUGAAAUCCUGGAGCUCAACUCCAGAACUGCCUUUGAUACUGGCGAUCUCGAGUCCGGGAGAGGUGAGUGGAACUGCGAGUGUAGAGGUGAAAUUCGUAGAUAUUCGCAAGAACACCAGUGGCGAAGGCGGCUCACUGGCCCGGUAUGACGCUGAGGUGCGAAAGCGUGGGAGCAACAGGA